GCACUCUUCGGAGUGAGUGGCAGACGGGUGAGUAACGCGUGGCAAACGUGCCUUUCUCUACGGAAUAGCCCUUGGAAACGAGGUGUAAUACCGUAUACGCCCUUAGGGGGAAAGAUUUAUCGGAGAAAGAUCGGUCCGCGUUAGAUUAGUUUGUUGGUGGGGUAAUGGCCUACCAAGACUACGAUCUAUAGCUGAUUUGAGAGGAUGAUCAGCCACACUGGAACUGAGACACGGUCCAGACUCCUACGGGAGGCAGCAGUGGGGAAUCUUGGACAAUGGGGGAAACCCUGAUCCAGCCAUGCCGCGUGAAUGAUGAAGGCCUUAGGGUUGUAAAAUUCUUUCACCGGGGAAGAUAAUGACGGUACCCGGAGAAGAAGCUCCGGCUAACUUCGUGCCAGCAGCCGCGGUAAUACGAAGGGAGCUAGCGUUGUUCGGAAUUACUGGGCGUAAAGCGCACGUAGGCGGAUUAGUAAGUAAGAGGUGAAAUCCCAGGGCUCAACCCUGGAACUGCCUUUUAAACUGCUAGUCUAGAGGAUAGGAGAGGUCAGUGGAAUACCGAGUGUAGAGGUGAAAUUCGUAGAUAUUCGGUGGAACACCAGUGGCGAAGGCGACUG
rnacentral:rRNA from 1 species